AAUAGAUACCCGGGUAGUCCAUGCCGUAAACGUUGGGCACUAGGUGUGGGACUCACUCAACGGGUUCCGUGCCGUAGCUAACGCAUUAAGUGCCCCGCCUGGGGAGUACGGCCGCAAGGCUAAAACUCAAAGGAAUUGACGGGGGCCCGCACAAGCAGCGGAGCAUGUUGCUUAAUUCGAGGCAACGCGAAGAACCUUACCUGGGUUUGACAUGUACGGAAAAGCCGCAGAGAUGCGGUGUCCUCUUGGGCCGUACACAGGUGGUGCAUGGUUGUCGUCAGCUCGUGUCGUGAGAUGUUGGGUUAAGUCCCGCAACGAGCGCAACCCUUGUCCUAUGUUGCCAGCGGGUAAUGCCGGGGACUCGUAGGAGACUGCCGGGGACAACUCGGAGGAAGGUGGGGAUGACGUCAAAUCAUCAUGCCCCUUAUGUCCAGGGCUGCAAACAUGCUACAAUGGCCAGUACAAAGGGCUGCUAUACCGCGAGGUUGAGCGAAUCCCAUAAAGCUGGUCUCAGUUCGGAUUGGAGU
rnacentral:rRNA from 1 species